GACGAACGCUGGCGGCGUGCUUAACACAUGCAAGUCGAACGGAAAGGCCCUGCUUUUGUGGGGUGCUCGAGUGGCGAACGGGUGAGUAACACGUGAGUAACCUGCCCUUGACUUUGGGAUAACUUCAGGAAACUGGGGCUAAUACCGGAUAGGACCUCCUGCUGCAUGGUGGGGGUUGGAAAGUUUCGGCGGUUGGGGAUGGACUCGCGGCUUAUCAGCUUGUUGGUGGGGUAGUGGCUUACCAAGGCUUUGACGGGUAGCCGGCCUGAGAGGGUGACCGGCCACAUUGGGACUGAGAUACAGCCCAGACUCCUACGGGAGGCAGCAGUGGGGAAUAUUGCACAAUGGGCGGAAGCCUGAUGCAGCAACGCCGCGUGCGGGAUGACGGCCUUCGGGUUGUAAACCGCUUUCGCCUGUGACGAAGCGUGAGUGACGGUAAUGGGUAAAGAAGCACCGGCUAACUACGUG
rnacentral:rRNA from 1 species